UAGCAAAGUGGUUAAGCAUUUGGCUGCUAACCAAAAGGUCGGCGGUUCGAAUCCACC
rnacentral:tRNA from 1 species